rnacentral:tRNA from 1 species
UAGGACAUAGCUUAAAAGUAAAGCAACUCACUUACACCGAGUAGACCGCUCGUUCAAAUCGAACUGUCCUAA